rnacentral:rRNA from 1 species
CCUACGGGUGGCAGCAGUGGGGAAUAUUGCACAAUGGGGGAAACCCUGAUGCAGCGACGCCGCGUGAGUGAAGAAGUAUUUCGGUACGUAAAGCUCUAUCAGCAGGGAAGAAAAAAAGUCCUUUGGACUUUGGACGGUACCUGACUAAGAAGCCCCGGCUAACUACGUGCCAGCAGCAGCGGUAAUACGGAGGGGGCAAGCGUUAUCCGGAUUUACUGGGGUGAAAGGGAGGGUAGACGGCAGCACAAGUCUGGAGUGAAAUCCCGGGGCUUAACCCCGGAACUGCUUUGGAAACUGGGCGGCUGGAGGGCAGGAGGGGUAAGCGGAAUUCCUAGUGUAGCGGUGAAAUGCGUAGAUAUUAGGAGGAACACCGGUGGCGAAGGCGGCUUACUGGACUGUAACUGACGUUGAGGCUCGAAAGCGUGGGGAGCAAACAGGAUUAGAUACCCUUGUAGUC